GAAAAAGAAAAAGAAACCCAAACAAAGGAGAAACCAGCUGCCAAGAGGGAUGGAGCUGUGGGAUGAGAACGGAGCAGGCUCCAGAGCUGCCAGGAAUGCUCCCUUUGGGCUGGAAUGGCAGAAUCCAGAGCCUGAGGGAACGCCCUCAGGGAGCAGAGCUCUGGAUGUGCCAAAAGAUGCUAAAAUAACAACUGGGAGUCAUAUCCUGGAUGAGCAAAACUCCUUCCCAGAGCCAGCCCCGGGACAGCAGCCCCCAAAAUCCGCUCUGCUGGGUGCCAGAGCCCGGGAGGAAGCGAAAGCAGAGGGAAGGAGAGGUGACAGCUGGAUGCUGGAAUGUAAAGGCAAGAGCAGAGAGGUUCCCUCGGAGCAGGGGGGCAAGACUGAGGUGGAGGAAUCUGCUCCAGCUUCGGGAGCCAGCGGGCCCACGGAGAGAGAUUUCCCCGGUAAAAGGGAGAGGAGGGAGCACAAGGAGUCAAGAGGCACCGACCUGAUGGUCCAUGAGAGCAAAGCAGGAACUCCCUUACAGACCAAACCAAAGGAAUUGCCCCUUUCCCAUAAAAAUAAAGAGCCUAAAACCUCAUCUCCAGGGCAGGAAGCACCCGGUGGCUCUGUGCAUCAGCUUUCCCUGGAAACAGCAGCUGAGAAAAACAGGGAAAAAAGCAACGGGGUUGAAAAGGAACCCCUCAAACAGCCUCACCUGGAGGACAAGCUCCCUGCAGAGCCAAAGGCAGCUGGAGAAAGUGAAACAGGGUCAGAGGGAGGGCUGCAGACCCCAAGAGAUGCUCCUGGAGCUCCUGUUCCAGCUUCACUUCCACCAAAGCUUGGGGAGGUUCCAGCUGUGCAGGGCAGAAGGGCCGAGGGUGUCCCCGGUGCUCCCAAACAUCCCUCCCCUGCUGGGGCAGGGGGCUGGGGUGGGGCAGAUUCCCCAGAUCCAAACCCAGGGAAGGGAUCCCCUGCUCCAGAGCAGAGGGCUGGGAAAGAUCCCAGCUCCACACACGGGAUGGAGAGGCCUAAAAAAAAGCGCAGCGAAGGGAAAGGCAAAAGAAUCAAAAGCUGCUCGGAGCAGAUGGUGCUGGCAGAGGAUGGAGGCAAAUUCACUGAGGGAAGGAGGACAGGGGAGGAUGGGAAGGAAGCAGUUUAUCCUGAAAAUGGUCAGGGGGUUCCUGCCAGAGGACACCCAUCAGCCAGCACUACAGACAAGCCCAAAAAAAGAGGCAGCGAUGGAAGGAGCAAAAAAGGGGAAAGGAGCUUUUUCCAGCAGCCUUUCCUUGAGAGUAAAAUGGAUGCAGGGAGUUUUCCUGAGGUAGCUGGUAAGGUGAGGGAGGGCAGUGAGGAGGGCAGAGCAGGGGGCUGUGUCCCUGCUGGGGGCUUGCAAGAAAACGCAGCUAAAACACAAAGAUCAAUUGAGCUGGGACCGGAGAAACCGAAAGAAAAUGUUGGGAAACAUGAAACAGCUGAUCUGAGAGCUUUAGACCAAGCUUUGCUACUGGAGAAGAGCAAAGAGGAAGCCAAAAUUCCUGCUCUGGCUGCCACCACGAGCCUGACUAAAGAGGUGGAUUUGGUUGGGAAAGGCAGAGAGGCCGGAGGUGGCGCAGGGCUGGCAGAGAAAGGCAGGAAAAGGAGCAGUGAUGGGAGGAGGAAAGAGGCUGAGCACAGCCCCUGGGGACAGGCAGCUGUCCCGGGUGCUGGGGGGGACAGCAGCCAGCAGCAGGAGCCUGGGAACAGGAAGGAAACAAGCCUGGAUAAGGAGAAGGGAUCUGGUUUGCACAGAGAGAGGUUGGCGGAGGAGCUGGGGAAGCCCAAAAUCCAGGGUGGCACUGGCAGCUUCUCUGAGCUGCCAAAUCUUUCAGGCCAGAAAACUGAGAUUUCAGAGGCAGAAAUUGGCAGUGCUAAGGAAAGUUGGCCCAUGAAUAGAGGGAAGGAAGCAGAGAAAUCCCAGCCUCUCCCAGAGCACAGGGCAGGGAUGCACAGUCCCAGCAGGGAACUGGGGAUGGACAAGGCCAGGAGUAAAAGCAGAGAUGGGAAAGGCAAAAAGGCUGAGCACACACCUGAGCUGCAGCCAGGCAAUGUCCCUGCAGUGGGACACAGCCAGCAAACUCAGGCUGAGAAAGGCAAAGAGAAUUCCAGGACUCCAGCAGCUCACCUGCCUGAUCCUGCCAAGGUAGAGGCUCCUGCUGUGCCCCUGGAGCCAGGGAAAUCACACCCAGGUGAUGAGGAGAAACACAGAAAGGGGGAGCCUGACCCACAGCAGCCUUUUCUGCUGGAGAAUAAAGCAGGAGCAGGGAUCUUCCCUCCUCCUGGCCUGGAGAUCAGGGACAAAGCUGAGGCAGGAGGUGCCAGUCCUCGCAGCAGGAAUAAAAAUUCUGUCCCAGUGUCAGAUCCCAGCCUGGCCCCAGUCACUGAGAGAUCUAAAAAGAGGGGUUAUGAUGGAAGCAGUAAAAAAGCUAAAAAUGCUUCCAGGCAUGUUCCUCUAGAGGCAAAUCCAGAGAGGAGUGAAGCACAGCCUCCCCUGGGAUCUGGGCUGGGAUGUGGGAUGGAAGACACAGAUUUUGUAGAUGAAAACAGAAACAUUAAAAACUUUCCCGCUGGCCCUCAAAGACUUGGGAAUAAUAAAAGAAGUGACUUGAAAUCCGUGGCUCAGAGCACAGCAAGUGGUGCCGGGGGUGAUGCUCCCUGUGACCUCCCAAAGCAGAGGGAAGGGACUGCAGGGACUGGGGGCCUUCCUCCUCCUCCUCCUCUUCCUCUGGAA
ensembl:lncRNA